UACGUAGGGUGCGAGCGUUAAUCGGAAUUACUGGGCGUAAAGCGUGCGCAGGCGGUUCGUUAUGUCCGAUGUGAAAGCCCCGAGCUCAACUUGGGAAUGGCAUUGGAAACUGGCGGGCUGGAGUAUGGCAGAGGGGGGUGGAAUUCCACGUGUAGCAGUGAAAUGCGUAGAGAUGUGGAGGAACACCGAUGGCGAAGGCAGCCCCCUGGGCCAACACUGACGCUCAGGCACGAAAGCGUGGGGAGCGAACAGG
rnacentral:rRNA from 1 species